rnacentral:rRNA from 1 species
UACGGAGGAUGCGAGCGUUAUCCGGAUUUAUUGGGUUUAAAGGGUGCGUAGGCGGACUACCAAGUCAGCGGUAAAAUUGCGGGGCUCAACCCCGUCGAGCCGUUGAAACUGGCGGUCUUGAGUGGGCGAGAAGUAUGCGGAAUGCGUGGUGUAGCGGUGAAAUGCAUAGAUAUCACGCAGAACUCCGAUUGCGGAAGGCAGCAUACCGGCGCCCGACUGACGCUGAAGCACGAAGCGUGGUAGUCGAACGG